rnacentral:lncRNA from 1 species
CUUGGGCAGACAGCAUGAGAGGCAGAGUCUUUGCUUACCUGGAGGUUGCCUUCUAAUGUACUGGGCUCCUGGGAGUGCAUGAAGGCUUCUUAGAUGAAGAGUAAUGGGGAUGUCUUACACAGCAAGAUGAGAAAACACAGACCACUUGGCUCUCUAGCGAGGACCAGAAUUUGAGUCAAAAUUAUAUGCAUGUCCCAGCAAAGCUUCGCAAAGAUGUCAGUAUUAAUUGUCACCAUCCUCCAGGGAGAAAGCAACAGCCCACAAUUGCCUGCAUUUUCUUUCCUCUUCAAAACCACUUCUGCUCCAAAGACCAUGAACCUGAACUGAAGAAACGACUCCUUCCUGCUGGUGUGAGAUAAUUCAGUCUCCAUGAUGUCUUAAUCCUGGGCCUCCCUUAAUUGACUUCUAACUGUGCUGAACUGUGGCUGCUAGGAGUUGCAAUGUGGAUCGCAAUUUACAAGGAAGAGAAAAAGACCGGUCUCUGUUUGGAAAUUACAAACAUAGAAGAACUUAGAAACAAUGGGUUUCUAGAUUGGGUGGAAGGACUGGCUUGGGAUCCUGAGAGAGCAAGAAAAGUUUACCGGGAGCUUCAGAAAAAGUUAUUCAUCAUUUUUGGAGUGGAUAUUCAGAAGUGACUUCCCUCUUUUGCUCUGGUAGGUAUGGAUAUGAGACCUCAGAAACCCCAGAACUCCUCAUUCUUUGCCUGACAGAAAAGCCCACACAUGGGAAAGACAGCCAUAAAGAUCAAAAGUAGAGCCCCUGGACUAAAUUAAGAAAGCAACUUGCUCAACCUUUCCACAUCUAGUUCCGUGAGCAAUCCAUUUCCUCAUGUCCAAAACAGCUUGACUGGGGGUUUCGGUUACUUACAGCCCAAAGCACACCAACUGGUAUGGUCAUCAGAAUUUAAGGCUUUUAAGUACUUAAAAUUCUGAUUUUAAGGA